UACAGAGGGUGCAAGCGUUGUUCGGAAUUAUUGGGCGUAAAGGGCGCGUAGGCGGUGCCACAAGUCACCUGUGAAAUCUCCGGGCUUAACUCGGAGCCUGCAGGCGAAACUGUGGUGCUGGAGUGUGGGAGAGGCGCGUGGAAUUGCAGGUGUAGCGGUGAAAUGCGUAGAUAUCUGCAGGAACACCCGUGGCGAAAGCGGCGCGCUGGACCACUACUGACGCUGAGGAACGAAAGCUAGGGGAGCAAACAGG
rnacentral:rRNA from 1 species